GAUGCCGUUAGUUCCCGUUGGUUAUGAAGUGCUGCAUGAAUUGAAGUGUUUGGAAGUUUGUCAGGUCAUAUAGUGCAAGGAAUUAGCUAGGAGAUCAUGGAGAGGCUAUAAGCUUGAUUCAAAGAAUUUAGCAUGAGGGAACAUUGGCAAGUGAUGAAAUUGAAGUGGAAUGGUAGAAUAGAACUGUCAGUAGCUGGAUUAGUUUAAGAUUAGUGCAUUUGUGCGACUUGAAUUGUCAUGUAUGUAUUGAUUUUUAUGGUGGAACUUGGAUAUUGUAAGGAAUUGGAUUGGAUAUGAAAAUGUAACACUGUAACUAGGAAUUAAUUGAAUUAUGGACAUGGUUCAUGAAAUUGUAAUGAAACGGUUUGGCAAUGAAAUGGUUCUUCUUUUUGUAACUAUUUGACAUGAUGUGAUGAAGUGAUAAGAUUUCUUUAAA